CCCCCCACACACACACACAAACUCCCACCCUCUCCCUGCUCAAACUGAGACUGCUUUUCCCUUUCCUCUUGUCUUGCUCAGGGUCCUUGGUGCACAGCUCCAGGCCUGAGGGCAAAGGCAGCUCUCAGAAAAGUGAUUAAUUGUUGGGUUGCGCGUCGUGGGGGAGAGAGAACUCGACCAGAGCCAACCUGGGCUGCUGCUUACUCAGUGACGAGGGAGAGGAACCAGGAACUCCUGCUGAGCAGGAACACAAUAGUUGGAGUUCAGAGCCCUCUGGUCAUCAUCAGCCCCAUAACAUUUCUCCUCCAUUGGAAGAAUGGAUCAAAAUUCUUUUCUGGGGUGCAGAAGGUGGAAGGUCUGGCUUCAGUAAUUGUUUCUCCAUUGGACAUGGGAAUUGGUAAGUUGAUAAAUACCCCAGCCUGUUUCAAUCUUUCCCUAGUGAGAUAGGGCUCUGGA